AAUAGCAGCAAAGACAGUCAAAAGUGUGGAUUUGAUUGAAGAAGUAGAUGUUACAGCUGAAAAUGGUGAUGAAGAUGAGAGUUGGGGCAGAUUCCAUGAGGAGGAUGAAGAGGACGAGGGUGAUGAUGAGAUGGAAAAUCCGGGUGAUGUGUCAAUUGGAAAGAAAAUCUGGACAUUUUUUACCUCAUAAGUCAUAAGGCUCCUAUUUUGUUUUUGUUUUUUAAUUUUCUUUGAGACUGAGGGACGUUGCUAUGCUACACUUUGGCAC
rnacentral:lncRNA from 1 species